GGGGCUAUAGCUCAGUGGCAGAGCACUUGCCUAGCAUGUGUGAGAGACCGAGUUCAAUCCUUAGCGCCA
rnacentral:tRNA from 1 species